rnacentral:rRNA from 1 species
UACGUAGGGUGCAAGCGUUUGUCCGGAAUUAUUGGGCGUAAAGAGCUCGUAGGCGGUCUGUCGCGUCGGAUGUGAAAACCCAGGGCUCAACCCUGGGCCUGCAUUCGAUACGGGCAGACUAGAGUUCGGUAGGGGAGACUGGAAUUCCUGGUGUAGCGGUGAAAUGCGCAGAUAUCAGGAGGAACACCGGUGGCGAAGGCGGGUCUCUGGGCCGUAACUGACGCUGAGGAGCGAAAGCGUGGGGAGCGAACAGG